UUUCCGUAGGUGAACCUGCGGAAGGAUCAUUAGUGAACGCCCUCACGGGCUUAUAACUAUUCCAAACCUCUGUGAACCGUGCCCUUCGGGGUUAUUUUACAAACAUGGUGUAAUGAACGUCAUAUAUCAUAACAAAACAAUACUUUCAACAACGGAUCUCUUGGCUCUC
rnacentral:misc_RNA from 1 species